UCCUCGUGAGAUCAACCUCGAGAUAUUCCCUGAUAUCGCUGCUGAUCUGUGCCUUUGGGCACCAAGCUCCUCCGUUUUUUUCCUGUCGAAUCCUGCCAGAAAUUACACAAUUUUAUCAAUAAAAGGUCGAAGGAAUUAUGACCCACGGUUUUUUAUGGGUAUGAAAUACCAGCGGGACAUUAGGAGGAUAAUAUCAGGACCCCCUGGAAAUUACGAACCUGGCAUUUUGCGGGCCAACGGAUUUCAUUUCGUAACUUGAGGACGCCGUGAUCGCGUUGUCUGGAAUCUUUCCCUCUUCCAUACCGAGAGGAACGAUACACUGCCCUAUAG
rnacentral:lncRNA from 1 species